UAGGGAAUAUUGGACAAUGGGGGAAACCCUGAUCCAGCAAUGCCGCGUGAGUGAUGAAGGCCUUAGGGUUGUAAAGCUCUUUCGGCGGGGACGAUGAUGACGGUACCCGCAGAAGAAGCCCCGGCUAACUUCGUGCCAGCAGCCGCGGUAAGACGAAGGGGGCUAGCGUUGUUCGGAAUUACUGGGCGUAAAGCGCACGUAGGCGGCCUAUCAAGUCAGAUGUGAAAGCCCCGGGCUUAACCCGGGAACUGCAUUUGAUACUGAUGGGCUAGAGACCGGGAGAGGAUAGCGGAAUUCCCAGUGUAGAGGUGAAAUUCGUAGAUAUUGGGAAGAACACCAGUGGCGAAGGCGGCUAUCUGGACCGGUACUGACGCUGAGGUGCGAAAGCGUGGGGAGCAAACA
rnacentral:rRNA from 1 species